rnacentral:rRNA from 1 species
CAUGUCUAAGUUUAAGCAACCUAUACUGUGAAACUGCGAAUGGCUCAUUAUAUCAGUCAUAAUUUAUUUGAUAGUACCUCACUACAUGGAUAACCGUGGUAAUUCUAGAGCUAAUACAUGCUAAAAACCCCGACUCCGGGAGGGGUGUAUUUAUUAGAUUAAAAACCAGCGCCCUUCGGGGCUCCUUGGUGAUUCAUAAUAACUCAACGAAUCGCAUGGCCUUGUGCCGGCGAUGGUUCAUUCAAAUUUCUGCCCUAUCAACUUUCGAUGGUAGGAUAGUGGCCUACCAUGGUUUCAACGGGUAACGGGGGAUUAGGGUUCGACUCCGGAGAGGGAGCCUGAGAAACGGCUACCACAUCCAAGGAAGGCAGCAGGCGCGCAAAUUACCCAAUCCCGACACGGGGAGGUAGUGACAAUAAAUACUGAUAUUGGGGUCUUUAGGCUCUAAUAAUUGGAAUGAGUACAAUUUAAAUCCCUUAACGAGGAACAAUUGGAGGGCAAGUCUGGUGCCAGCAGCCGCGGUAAUUCCAGCUCCAAUAGCGUAUAUUAAAGUUGUUGCAGUUAAAAAGCUCGUAGUUGAACCUCGGGCCUGGCUGGCCGGUCCGCCUCACCGCGUGCACUGGUCCGGCCGGGCCUUUCCUUCUGGGGACCGCAUGCCCUUCAGUGGGUGUGCUGGGGAGCCAGGACUUUUACUGUGAAAAAAUUAGAGUGUUCAAAGCAGGCCUAUGCUCGAAUACAUUAGCAUGGAAUAAUAGAAUAGGACGUGUGGUUCUAUUUUGUUGGUUUCUAGGACCGCCGUAAUGAUUAAUAGGGAUAGUCGGGGGCAUCAGUAUUCAAUUGUCAGAGGUGAAAUUCUUGGAUUUAUUGAAGACUAACUACUGCGAAAGCAUUUGCCAAGGAUGUUUUCAUUAAUCAGUGAACGAAAGUUAGGGGAUCGAAGACGAUCAGAUACCGUCGUAGUCUUAACCAUAAACUAUGCCGACUAGGGAUCGGGCGAUGUUAUCUUUUUGACUCGCUCGGCACCUUGCGAAAAAUCAAAGUUUCUGGGUUCUGGGGGGAGUAUGGUCGCAAGCUGAAACUUAAAGAAAUUGACGGAAGGGCACCACCAGGAGUGGACCUGCGGCUUAAUUUGACUCAACACGGGGAAACUCACCAGGUCCANACACAAAAAGGAUUGACAGAUUGAGAGCUCUUUCUUGAUCUUGUGGGUGGUGGUGCAUGGCCGUUCUUAGUUGGUGGAGUGAUUUGUCUGCUUAAUUGCGAUAACGAACGAGACCUUAACCUGCUAAAUAGCCAGGCUAGCUUUGGCUGGUCGCCGGCUUCUUAGAGGGACUAUCGGCUCAAGCCGAUGGAAGUUUGAGGCAAUAACAGGUCUGUGAUGCCCUUAGAUGUCUGGGCCGCACGCGCGCUACACUGACAGAGCCAACGAGUUCAUCACCUUGGCCGAAAGGCCUGGGUAAUCUUGUUAAACUCUGUCGUGCUGGGGAUAGAGCAUUGCAAUUAUUGCUCUUCAACGAAGAAUUCCUAGUANGCGCAAGUCAUCAGCUUGUGCCGACUACGUCCCUGCCCUUUGUACACACCGCCCGUCGCUACUACCGAUUGAAUGGCUCANUGAAGCCUUCGGACUGGCUCAGGGANGGCGGCAACNACCACCCAGANCCGGGAAAUUGGUCAAACUUGGUCAUUUANAAGAAG